rnacentral:misc_RNA from 1 species
GAAAGUAACGGCGGUCUCACCAGCGCGUGUAAAGGGAUGGGGACCGUUGGAGCGGCUAGUCGCACAUCAUCACAACAACGAGGAUCGAGGAAUAAGUAACCACGACACGGCCGCCAGAUAUCGUGUUUGGCCUGUGAGACAAGCGUCAGGUUUGUGGCAGACACAAGCGGCAAGCAACAAAAAAGAAACAUGGCGGGUCGCAGUGUGUGGGACAGGAGGCUGCUGACUGUUUACUGGAUUUUGCUUGUCUCAGUCAUGGGUGCCGUCCUUGCCGAAUCAAGUGUAAAUUCUUCCAGCAUCGUCAGCAGCUCCAGUUCCCAAGAUGACCCCACAGUGACCACAAUGGAGAAGGGGAUGAAACCGUUUUUCGACAUGGUGAAGACGUUUCUGGGCGUCGUUCAGCCAGAAAAAAUCACCACGCAGACUUGGCUCAAUUUGUCAACAUUGUUCAAAGAUGAACAGUUUUACUCUGAACAGAUUAAGGACUGGCGGAAGGGGGCAAAAUACUUGAUAGGAUUCGCAGUAUGCGUGGCAGCAGGCCUUCUCUUCUUUGUAGUCAUGCCCAUUGUUGGGCUGAUAUUUUGCUGCUGCCGGUGCUGCUGUGGCAAGUGUGGAGGCAGACAGAAGAAGCAUGACCCAAAGCAUGCUGGGUGCAAGCGCAAGUCUUACUGUACUGUUCUACUACUGCUGAACACUGUUGCACUAGCUGGGGUUGUUUGUGCUUUUGUCUCCAUUGAUGUUUUACACAAGAAACUUCAAAAUGAAAACAAUGCUGGUCCAGUUGGAAAGCUAACAUCCGCCAUAGGAAAAGCAGAAAGUUUUGUCAAUAAUACAGUUGACGAAAUUCAGAGGACCAUUUUAGGAUCAUAUGACAGUGCCAAGGCUACAAUAAUUGAUGACAUCAGAAAGACAGCUGAUACAGCUGUGAGUGAUGUGCUGAGAGUUUUAAAUGCAACUGCUUUACUGGACCAGACUAAAGCCCUCAGUCAAGAUGUCAACAAGACCAGAGAUCAUCUGCAGAAUGUUGCCACUCAGCUGGCUUUUCUAAGCACUGCAGGGAAUGCACUCCGAGCAAACUUAACUCGCAUCGCCGAUGAGGUGGAGAGCAUUUGUCGGAAAUCAACAGAUAGCUGCAACAACUUCAACAGAAAUUAUUAUGUCGUUAACCCUGAUUUUUCUAAGUUGGACAAUUUAAGUAGUCAGGCGACAGAAGUUUCAAAGGCAUUGGAUAUGAAUCGAUAUAUUCAAGAGGCAGAAGAGAUUGUUGCAAAUGCAAAGUCUACAACAACAAAUAGUGUGAAUAAUGAGAUUAAUGCUUCCUCUUCAUCUCUGGACAGUGUUCGCAUGGAAAUCGUGAAAGGAAUUAAUAAUGUCAGGAAUAGUGUACUUGAAUUGACUGAUUGGAUGUCAGAUGCAUCAACUCGUGUGCAAAACACUCAGGAACCUAUUAGCACCUACAAUAAAUAUGGAUGGUAUGCAGGUCUUGCCAUCAGCGGUUUGCUUUUAUUGAUCAUCGUGCUUUACUAUGUGGGUGUGAUGUUUGGACUGUGUGGGGAACGUCCAGGCUUUGGGGCACCUUGCUGUAACACGGGCACUGGAGCCAACUUCCUCAUGGCAGGUGUGGGCUUCACUUUCCUCUAUACGUGGCUGCUUAUGCUAGUGUGUAUCAUCCUAUUUGUGACUGGAGGUAUUGCAUACACAGAGGUGUGCCGCUACUUCAACAGCCACAACCCCAGUGAUUUGCAGGCCUUUAGCAAUGUUUUGCGCGAAGCAACAGCGUUUGAGAAGACUCUCUUUGACGAGAAAGUCAAUCUUGAUGUUGCUGAAAUUCUUGAGAAAUGCCAAAACAAUGAAGCCGUUUACUCGGUCAUGAAGUUGGACCAUAUGGUCAACAUAACGCAGUACACCAGUUUGGAGCCUCUUCAUCUGAAACUGGAAGAACUGAAAAAUUCUUCAGUAUCCAUCCCUAACAUACACUUAUCAAUGAGAAUCUCAACAGAUCAGUGACGGAUUUCUCCCAGUCGGGCAUUGAUGCCAUUAAUUUCAGUGUAUACUAUGCAGAAGUAAACAAAAAUCUGACUGCAGCAAAGCUAGACCAGAUGGCAAUAAAUCUUCUAAGUUUGGCUACUAUGCAAAAUGAUCGUACUAACAAAGAGAAGCUGACAACUCUUUCAAGUGAACUGACAGAUCUGGAGAGAACUUUAG